rnacentral:rRNA from 1 species
GACGAACGCUGGCGGCGUGCUUAACACAUGCAAGUCGAACGGAAAGGCUCCAGCUUGCUGGAGUACUCGAGUGGCGAACGGGUGAGUAACACGUGGGUAAUCUGCCCUGCACUCUGGGAUAAGCCUGGGAAACUGGGUCUAAUACUGGAUAUGACCUUUCUCCUUAUGGGGUUUGGUGGAAAGUUUUUCGGUGUAGGAUGAGCCCGCGGCCUAUCAGCUUGUUGGUGGGGUGAUGGCCUACCAAGGCGACGACGGGUAGCCGGCCUGAGAGGGUGAUCGGCCACAUUGGGACUGAGAUACGGCCCAGACUCCUACGGGAGGCAGCAGUGGGGAAUAUUGCACAAUGGGCGGAAGCCUGAUGCAGCGACGCCGCGUGAGGGAUGACGGCCUUCGGGUUGUAAACCUCUUUCAGCAGGGACGAAGCGUAAGUGACGGUACCUGCAGAAGAAGCACCGGCUAGCUAUGUG